AUAUGUGAAGGUGAUAUGGCUGUGACUUCUAUCACCCUGUUGAAACUCAUGUUUGGUCUGAAAGUCUGAUAGGCUAAAGUGAAGGUUUCGUCUUCCCUCAGUCUUCUGUAAACACUCCUUCCCCAAGAUGGGGUCAUGGAUGCAGGUGGAUGAUAAUCCCAGCAUGCAGAAAGUCACUCCCAGGUAGGAAUAUACAGAUUGUUGUGUUCCUCUGAAAAACCACCAAAGAAAAUAGGCAUAGGAAAGAAUGUGAAGGAAAAUAAAAAGUUGAUUCUGAUAUUUCCUACUAUGGAAGUGUGGAA
ensembl:misc_RNA 7SK 7SK RNA